rnacentral:tRNA from 1 species
GCCAACAUAGCUCAGUGGUAGAGCAGCUGUUUUGUAAACAGUCGGUCGGGGGUUCGAGUCCCUCUGUUGGCUCAA